rnacentral:rRNA from 1 species
UUUCAGUGAGUGGCGAACGGGUGAGUAACACGUGGACAACCUGCCUCAAGGCUGGGGAUAACAUUUGGAAACAGAUGCUAAUACCGAAUAAAACUUAGUGUCGCAUGACACAAAGUUAAAAGGCGCUUCGGCGUCACCUAGAGAUGGAUCCGCGGUGCAUUAGUUAGUUGGUGGGGUAAAGGCCUACCAAGACAAUGAUGCAUAGCCGAGUUGAGAGACUGAUCGGCCACAUUGGGACUGAGACACGGCCCAAACUCCUACGGGAGGCUGCAGUAGGGAAUCUUCCACAAUGGGCGAAAGCCUGAUGGAGCAACGCCGCGUGUGUGAUGAAGGCUUUCGGGUCGUAAAGCACUGUUGUAUGGGAAGAACAGCUAGAAUAGGAAAUGAUUUUAGUUUGACGGUACCAUACCAGAAAGGGACGGCUAAAUACGUGCCAGCAGCCGCGGUAAUACGUAUGUCCCGAGCGUUAUCCGGAUUUAUUGGGCGUAAAGCGAGCGCAGACGGUUUAUUAAGUCUGAUGUGAAAGCCCGGAGCUCAACUCCGGAAUGGCAUUGGAAACUGGUUAACUUGAGUGCAGUAGAGGUAAGUGGAACUCCAUGUGUAGCGGUGGAAUGCGUAGAUAUAUGGAAGAACACCAGUGGCGAAAGCGCUUACUGGACUGCAACUGACGUUGAGCUCGAAAGUGUGGGUAGC